rnacentral:rRNA from 1 species
GAUGAACGCUGGCGGCGUGCCUAAUACAUGCAAGUCGAGCGAACAGACGAGGAGCUUGCUCCUCUGACGUUAGCGGCGGACGGGUGAGUAACACGUGGAUAACCUACCUAUAAGACUGGGAUAACUUCGGGAAACCGGAGCUAAUACCGGAUAAUAUAUUGAACCGCAUGGUUCAAUAGUGAAAGACGGUUUUGCUGUCACUUAUAGAUGGAUCCGCGCCGCAUUAGCUAGUUGGUAAGGUAACGGCUUACCAAGGCAACGAUGCGUAGCCGACAUGAGAGGGUGAGCGGCCACACUGGAACGGAGACACGGUCCAGACUCCUACGGGAGGCAGCAGUAGGGAAUCUUGCGCAAUGGGCGAAAGCCUGACGGAGCAACGCCGCGUGAGUGAUGAAGGUCUUCGGAUCGUAAAACUCUGUUAUUAGGGAAGAACAAAUGUGUAAGUAACUAUGCACGUCUUGACGGUAACUAAUCAGAAAGCCACGGCUAACUACGUG